rnacentral:rRNA from 1 species
GACGAACGCUGGCGGCGUGCUUAGCACAUGCAAGUCGAACGGAAAGGCCCUGCUUUUGUGGGGUGCUCGAGUGGCGAACGGGUGAGUAACACGUGAGUAACCUGCCCUUGACUUUGGGAUAACUUCAGGAAACUGGGGCUAAUACCGGAUAGGAGCUCCUGCUGCAUGGUGGGGGUUGGAAAGUUUCGGCGGUUGGGGAUGGACUCGCGGCUUAUCAGCUUGUUGGUGGGGUAGUGGCUUACCAAGGCGUUGACGGGUAGCCGGCCUGAGGGGGUGACCGGCGACAUUGGGACUGAGAUACGGCCCAGACUCCUACGGGAGGCAGCAGUGGGGAAUAUUGCACAAUGGGCGGAAGCCUGAUGCAGCAACGCCGCGUGCGGGAUGACGGCCUUCGGGUUGUAAACCGCUUUCGCCUGUGACGAAGCGUGAGUGACGGUAAUGGGUAAAGAAGCACCGGCUAACUACGUG